rnacentral:rRNA from 1 species
UAGGGAAUCUUCCACAAUGGACGAAAGUCUGAUGGAGCAACGCCGCGUGAGUGAAGAAGGGUUUCGGCUCGUAAAACUCUGUUUUUAAAGAAGAACAUAUCUGAGAGUAACUGUUCAGGUAUUGACGGUAUUUAACCAGAAAGCCACGGCUAACUACGUGCCAGCAGCCGCGGUAAUACGUAGGUGGCAAGCGUUGUCCGGAUUUAUUGGGCGUAAAGCGAGCGCAGGCGGUUUUUUAAGUCUGAUGUGAAAGCCUUCGGCUCAACCGAAGAAGUGGAUCGGAAACUGGGAAACUUGAGUGCAGAAGAGGACAGUGGAACGCCAUGUGUAGCGGUGAAAUGCGUAGAUAUAUGGAAGAACACCAGUGGCGAAGGCGGCUGUCUGGUCUGUAACUGACGCUGAGGCUCGAAAGUAUGGGUAGCAAACAGG